rnacentral:RNase_P_RNA from 1 species
CGAGAGUGGGAAAACAUCGCCGGCGCUUCGGCGCGGGAGGAAAGUCCGGGCACUAUAUGGCAGCGUAGCGGGUAAUGCCCGUCCACCGUGAGGUGAGGACAAGUGCAACAGAAAGCAAGUACAGUUCGGCUGUAGUGAAAUCAGGUAAACUCUACGUGGUGCAAAUCCAAAUAGGUCUACUCAUCAGGCGGCCAGUCUGUGUAGACGGGUAGGAUGCUCGAGCUGUGGGGUAACCCAUGGCCUAGAUGAAUGGUGUUUCUCGACAGAACCCGGCUUACACCUACUCUCGGUCU